rnacentral:pre_miRNA from 2 species
GGUUGGGGGAGAAAGAGCAGCGGGGAACAGACAGAGCAUGAAUGGAGUCCUCAACAGACUUAAAAUCAAAUCAACACAAACCUUUAUAUCUUACUGUUGUGCCUCUACUCAUGCACUGCCUCUUCCCUGGCUGCCCCUUAUUUUUCUAUCU